rnacentral:rRNA from 1 species
CAAUAGCGUAUAUUAAAGUUGUUGCAGUUAAAAAGCUCGUAGUUGGAUCUGUGGUGUGCGGUGGGCUCCGGGCACUUGUUGUCUGAGCAGCUCGCCGCUGCCAUCCUUGGGUGGAACCUGUGUGGCAUUAGGUUGUCGUGCAGGGGAUGCCCAUCGUUUACUGUGAAAAAAUUAGAGUGUUCAAAGCAGGCUUAUGCCGUUGAAUAUAUUAGCAUGGAAUAAUGAGAUAGGACUUUUUCGCUAUUUUGUUGGUUUGCGCGAAGAGGCAAUGAUUAAUAGGGACAGUUGGGGGUAUUCGUAUUCCAUUGUCAGAGGUGAAAUUCUUGGAUUUUUGGAAGACGAACUACUGCGAAAGCAUUUACCAAGGAUGUUUUCAUUAA